GCCAAAGUGCCGGUCUGGCCCGGCUCUUUCAGCCCCACCCCCUGCCCGAGCCAGGGUCCCACCCUAGGGAGCGUCUCAAAAGUGCGCAGCUCCCGCCCACUCCACUAGGCCUCACUCCCAACUUCCUGCAUCCCUACUCCUUGCCCCCUCCCCCUGAGCACCGGAGCAAUUUCAGCAGAUGGCCUCACGGUCAGGAACAUCUGGAGGUCGCCGAAGCAUUCUCUUCACCCUUCUUGAAGUCAUCCUGGCCCUGUGACAUGUCAGAGAAUGUGCUAGAUGUGGAAACUGAUAUUCAGAAUGACUCAUCCAUGGUUGCACAACUGGAACUUGAAGCUGACUCAGUGAGGUAACUUGAGCCAUUCUGCUGUAGGGCUAGUUCUGUGCAAUGACUUUGCUGGUGUCUCAGCAGUCACUGUAUGACAAGCACUCCUUCCCUCCUGCCAAAUCAAAUGCGUCCCUAAAUAUUUCUCUCCCACUCUCCCACCCCCAUGCUUUUCCCCUGCCUGGAAUGCUUUUCUCAGCCCAGUCUACCAGCUGCAAUCCCUGCUGCCUUCCAAAUCCACCACCUCCUUCGCAAAGACAUUUCCAUUUCCCACAAUUUCUCUUCCACUGAGCCUGGAAGCACUUGGUUUGUGGCUCAGUACAACCUGUUCUACAGUCCUGCUUCCUGCCUCCAUCUGAUGCUCUGCAUCCCAGCUGUUAAGGCUCCCUGCAGAUGCUGGGAGUUCCAGGUCUUUGGUCCUUCAGAGGUAUUCUUUGCCCCACCGUAGCUCUUACUUAUAUCAACUUUAACUUAAGCAUCACCUCUUCCAGUAAGCCCCCCUUGGCCUCCCCUUCUUUUCUGGUGCCUUGGUAUACUGAGGACACUUCUAUUAGGAACAAGAUUGUUCAAUCAUUGAUUCCUUUAUUAAGGCAAGGUGCAUUCUUUGGAGCCAAAUCCCACAGGUUUAAAUCCCAGCCUCAGAGUGGGCAAGUUCUUACACCAAUCUCUCCCUGCCCUACUUCUUAAAUCUGUAAAGUGAAUGAAACAAUAGCUCCUACUUCAAAGGUUAUUGUAAAGAUUAAAUGAAUUAAUCCAGGUAGAAUGUGUCAGACAGAGCCUGGAAUGUAGUAAAACCACCUGAUGAAU